UACAGAGACCUCAAGCGUUAUCCGGAAUUAUUGGGCGUAAAGCGUACCGAUCGGUGGUUUUGAAAGUCAGAGGUGAAAUCACAAAGCUUAACUUUGUGACUGUCCUUUGAAACUUCAGAACUAGAGGGGCAAAGAGGAGACUGGAACAAACGGCGUAGUAGUGAAAUGCGUUGAUAUCGGGAGGAACACCUAUGGCGAAAGCAGGUUUCUGGACCAUCACUGACGCUGAUCUGCGAAAGCUAGGGGAGCAAACAGG
rnacentral:rRNA from 1 species